rnacentral:rRNA from 1 species
CGGACGGGUGAGUAACGCGUGGGUAACCUGCCCUGUACAGGGGGAGUAACAGCUGGAAACGGCUGCUAAUACCGCAUAAGCGCACGAGGAGACAUCUCCUUGUGUGAAAAACUCCGGUGAUACAGGAUGGGCCCGCGUCUGAUUAGCUGGUUGGCAGGGUAACGGCCUACCAAGGCAACGAUCAGUAGCCGGUCUGAGAGGAUGAACGGCCACAUUGGAACUGAGACACGGUCCAAACUCCUACGGGAGGCAGCAUG